AGGAAGGAAACUGAGUUUGUUUGUAGGAAGGGAAGGAAGGAAGGAAACUCAGUUUGUUUGUAGGAAGGGAAGGAAGGAAGGAAACUCAGUUUGUUUGUAGGAAGGGAAGGAAGGAAGGAAACUCAGUUUGUUUGUAGGAAGGGAAGGAAGGAAACUCAGUUUGUUUGUAGGAAGGGAAGGAAACUCAGUUUGUUUGAAGGAAGGAAGGAAGGAAGGAAGGAAGGAAGGAAGGAAGGAAGGAAGGAA